UGAGGCACAGAGACAAUGCAGGUGGGC
rnacentral:piRNA from 1 species